AACGAACGCUGGCGGCAUGCCUAACACAUGCCAGUCGAACGAUACCUUCGGGUCUAGUGGCGCACGGGUGCGUAACGCGUGGGAACCUGCCCUUAGGUUCGGAAUAACUCCCCGAAAGGGGUGCUAAUACCGGAUAAUGUCUUCGGACCAAAGAUUUAUCGCCUUUGGAUGGGCCCGCGUUGGAUUAGCUAGUUGGUAGGGUAAAAGCCUACCAAGGCGACGAUCCAUAGCUGGUCUGAGAGGAUGAUCAGCCACACUGGGACUGAGACACGGCCCAGACUCCUACGGGAGGCAGCAGUGGGGAAUAUUGGACAAUGGGCGAAAGCCUGAUCCAGCAAUGCCGCGUGAGUGAUGAAGGCCUUAGGGUUGUAAAGCUCUUUUACCCGGGAUGAUAAUGACAGUACCGGGAGAAUAAGCUCCGGCUAACUCCGUG
rnacentral:rRNA from 1 species